UAUAUACUCCCUCCGUCCGAAAAUAUUUGUCAUUAAAAUAGAUAAAAAAGGAUAUAUCUAGAACUAAAAUACAUCUAGAUACAUCUCCUUUUAUCUAUUUUGAUGACAAAUAUUUCUGGACGGAGGGAGUAGUAU
rnacentral:pre_miRNA from 1 species